AUCUGGAACCUAUGAACUAGGAACAUAAGGAACAUUUUUGGGCCCUCAUCAUGGUACAAUAUACAAUAGGACCUAGGCAAAAGUAACAGAAAGACCAGACAUGAGAUGGAGUUAUCCUGCUACAGAGAUGCUGACCUGGAGACCAGGAGGUCCCAGAGGUAUAGCCACAAGAGUCUUUUAACUUUUUCCUAAACAGUGAGACUUAUAAAGGUUAGGUUCCCUCCUCUCUGAAGACUUACUUGUGUCAAGCUGAUAUAAACUAGCCAGCACAACUAAGAAAGAAGAUACAACUGGUUUAAACAUUCAACCCAGAAAGCUGGAGAAAGGUCAGAGGUUCUCUUUCCAGCCUGACCCUGGCCUUUUGUCAGGGAAGGAGUGCUGCAGAGGUUUGUAAACAGUACGAUAUGACAUUUAGUAACCAGUAUGUAAGCAGUAGAAUACGAAACUGAUGUAUUUGGAGAAAAAUAAGGUACUCCUUAUUAAAAUUUUAAACAGCUAAA
rnacentral:lncRNA from 1 species